UAAAAUCAGAGAUAAUUAUUUACAAUGAGCAGUCGUUGCAUUUUUGGAGGGUUCGCCACAGGAAAGAUCAACCUUAGAUACCGUCACCAAAUAUCCAGUUAUAUCCAGUUCUAUACGAAGAGUGGUUGGAAGUCGUCCCAAGCAGAUUUAAAAACGAAAAUUGCUAUCGCAAGUAUAGAGUUUGCGAUAGACAUUUUGAACCAGAAGGAAAGUACGGGAAGGGUCGCCUUCAAAGAUAGCGAUUCCUAAACUACAUUUACCUAGUGAGCCUACCACAGUUGAUACACAUUUUCCCUGUGCACUCUACACUAAACACUGAUUUACCAACCUUAAGAAAUCAAGUGGUUGAUGAUGCGGGAUGUGUAUUACAAAAUCCUAUAGAAGUUGAGGUUGCUUCAAGAAAUCAAGUGGUUGAUGAUGCGGGAUGUGUAUUACAAAAUCCUAUAGAAGUUAAGGUUGCUUCAAGUACAAGUUGUACUUGGGGUGGACUAAUACAUGAAGAAUCUAUACCCUAUGUAGGAGUUUAUUGUGCUUCUGUGACAUGCAUCAAGAAAACGAAACCAACAGUUUUGAUAUGGGAGGAGAUGAAUAUUGAUUUGGAGAAAGGAUGACAACGCCGAAGCGGACCUACGCAUCAAAUACGCUACUGAAUAGAAUAUAUUAUUCUUACAGAUAAUAAAACCUAAGGAAG